UCUUGAGGCUCUUCCGUGGGACUGGACCCACUUUUGUCCCCUGCGAUGAACCUGCGGGGUGGCUGCAGUUCUUCCAAUUCAGGCAGAGCCGCAGAUCUGGAGAGGUACAAAGGGGCACUUUGGAGGUAUCUCAGCUUUGUGUGCUUUGCAGGCUGGCCUGAGUGGUUUUCCAGGUGCAGGCGAAGUUGCUUCACGGCACAGUUACAACUGGAGCCCAGAUGCCUACACUUGCUGAUGGCCCUGCUAGCACGUGAACAUCUCAUGCUGCCACCUGAACGCGGUCCUUCAGCUUGCAGCCCUGCCUCUUAGCUUCAUUUCCCUACCUCAGGUCCCUGCCUCGUGUCACAAGCUCGCCUUUCCCUCCUGUAGCCUGAUCUUGUGAAUCACUGCAUAUCAGUAGUCUGAAACUUUAAAGUUUCCAUCCCCAGCAGACUUGCCUGGUAACGAUUCUAAGCGCCACUGCAUCUCUCUGUGUUCUCAGACCCACGUAAUGGCUUAGGCUGGAAAGGACCUUAAAGCCCACUCAGUUCCAGCCCUUUGCCACGGCCAGGGUUUCCACGCAGCAGCUCAGGCAUCACAGGCUCCAUCCAACUUGGCCUUGAACGCCUCUGGGGUUGGGGCACCCACACUCCUCUGGGCAGCAGUGCCGGGGCCUCAGCGCCCUCCGAGGAAAGAAAUUUCUCUUUGCGUGGAACCUGAAUCUGCCUUUGUUUUGCUUAAAACUGUUCCCCCUUGUCCUGUCCCUGCCUGGCAGCGUGAACAGUUGCUCAGCCUCCUCUUAAGCUCCCUUUAGGUACUGGAAGACUUAGAAUCCAGAGCCAAGAGGCAUGAGAUUUGCUUGUAAGCCUAUCAGGGUGCAGAGUGAAUGCCUGCAUGGGCAGGUGAGCCUUACGAGCAGUAAUGAGCCGCUUGGUGGGGCAGAGUCAGCGCCCCACCGUGAUGGCAGGGGAUGGCUGCAGGAUGGGCUGGGCUGCGUGCCUGCGGGUUGGAAUGCCACAGGUAAGCUGUUCCCAGCGAUGAUGUGAGUUACUGUCACUGAACGCGGCGUGAGAAGUUGGGAGAGCUGUAGUGUUCCUUGCUGGCAAUAAAAGCCAGGGAGGUUUGCUUAGUCUCAAGUAUGUGUCGGAUGGCACUCCCGUUAUACAUCUUCCAAGUGUUGUAGCA
ensembl:lncRNA